GAUAUGAUAGUGGCGCACGGGUGCGUAACACGUAUGCAACCUACCUUAUAGACGGGGAUAGCCUUUGGAAACGGAGAUUAAUACCCGAUAGUAUAUAUUGAUGGCAUCAUUAGUAUAUUAAAGAUUUAUUGCUAUAAGCUGGGCAUGCGUCCAAUUAGUUAGUUGGUUAGGUAAUGGCUGACCAAGACGAUGAUUGGUAGGGGAACUGAGAGGUUAAUCCCCCACACUGGCACUGAGAUACGGGCCAGACUCCUACGGGAGGCAGCAGUAGGGAAUAUUGGGCAAUGGAGGCAACUCUGACCCAGCCAUGCCGCGUGCAGGAUGAAGGCGUUAUGCGUUGUAAACUGCUUUUAUAUAGGAAGAAACAGACCUUGCGAGGUAAUUUGACGGUACUAUAUGAAUAAGCACCGGCUAACUCCGUGCCAGCAGCCGCGGUAAUACGGAGGGUGCAAGCGUUGUCCGGAUUUAUUGGGUUUAAAGGGUGCGUAGGCGGUUUAUUAAGUCAGUGGUGAAAGACGGUCGCUCAACGAUUGCAGUGCCAUUGAUACUGGUAGACUUGAGUGAGAUUGAGGUAGCUGGAAUGGAUAGUGUAGCGGUGAAAUGCAUAGAUAUUAUCCAGAACACCAAUUGCGUAGGCAAGUUACUAAGUCUCAACUGACGCUGAGGCAC
rnacentral:rRNA from 1 species